ACUUACUGUCUUUUACUUUGCUGACGUGGUUGAAUACUGGCGACGGUUACAUAGAAACAAAAUGGCCUCGCCGUAGAAGCAGCGAAAGGGACAACAGGAGCGAUUCAGGUUCAUUUAACAACAACAGGGUGUGCACCGACUUUAACCGAAGCAAAAGGAGCCAUGUACUUGUCCAUGAUGUUGCUUGCCCUACUGGUAGCGUAUAACUGCGCAGACAUGGAAAAGGUCUCGUACGAGAGAGCUCUCAUCGUUCAUGGAAACUGUGUGUACGACAAUGCGUACAUUCCCGACGGCGGAAUAUACCAGAAGCGUGUGGAACGCUGCGCACUCGUUCGGUGCAUGGCCAAGAGUGCUCUUGUAGAGGUCACGGAGUGCGGCAUCAAAGAGGGAUGUUCGUCGCCCAAGGGAGGUGUAUACCCCAACUGUUGCUCUAACUACACUUGCUCGUGAUGUGAGCCACUGAGGUCGAACAUCUGCGAGAAGGGCUGGUCCUCGUCGGCAUUGUCACACUUGCUCCGUCCAUGUUCAGACCAGUAGCGUUAGUAAAGUAAGGUUCU